rnacentral:rRNA from 1 species
UACGGGGGGGGCAAGCGCUGUUCGGAAUUACUGGGCGUAAAGGGCUCGUAGGUGGCCAACUAAGUCAGACGUGAAAUCCCUCGGCUUAACUGGGGAACUGCGUCUGAUACUGGUUGGCUUGAGUGCAGGAGAGGAACGCGGAAUUCCAGGUGUAGCGGUGAAAUGCGUAGAUAUCGGGAGGAACACCAGUGGCGAAGGCGACUACCUGGCCUGUUCUUGACGCUGAGGCGCGAAAGCUAGGGGAGCAAACGGG